GAUGAACGCUGGCGGCGUGCUUAACACAUGCAAGUCGAACGGAAAGGCCCAAGCUUGCUUGGGUACUCGAGUGGCGAACGGGUGAGUAACACGUGGGUGAUCUGCCCUGCACUUCGGGAUAAGCCUGGGAAACUGGGUCUAAUACCGGAUAGGACCACAUUUUGGAUGGUGUGGUGGAAAGUUUUUCGGUGUGGGAUGAGCUCGCGGCCUAUCAGCUUGUUGGUGGGGUAAUGGCCUACCAAGGCGUCGACGGGUAGCCGGCCUGAGAGGGUGUACGGCCACAUUGGGACUGAGAUACGGCCCAGACUCCUACGGGAGGCAGCAGUGGGGAAUAUUGCACAAUGGGCGCAAGCCUGAUGCAGCGACGCCGCGUGGGGGAUGACGGCCUUCGGGUUGUAAACUCCUUUCGCUAGGGACGAAGCGUUGUUGUGACGGUACCUGGAGAAGAAGCACCGGCUAACUACGUG
rnacentral:rRNA from 1 species